GAAAGUGUGAGUGUGUGCUUCUUGAGGGGAUCCAGAUGAUUAAUGGCUGUACAAUCUGAGUGGGAUUGUCACCAGGAUGUAGGAUCAAGGACCUCUUAAGGUGAAAUAUGUGUAUGUGUGUGUUUGAUUGAGGAGCGGUUGCAGAAGGCUUAAAGCGAUACCAUCAUACUUGGACAGGAUGCAGUGCAUCAAGGAUUUAACUGAGUAUGUACUAUUAUUAUAAUAAAUAAAACUCAAAAUUUACACCUUAAAAAGUAAUUUAUUUUUAA